GGCGAGUGGCGAACGGGUGAGUAAUAUAUCGGAACGUACCCAAGAGUGGGGGAUAACGUAGCGAAAGUUACGCUAAUACCGCAUACGAUCUAUGGAUGAAAGUGGGGGAUUCGCAAGAACCUCAUGCUCCUGGAGCGGCCGAUAUCUGAUUAGCUAGUUGGUAGGGUAAAGGCCUACCAAGGCUACGAUCAGUAGCUGGUCUGAGAGGACGACCAGCCACACUGGAACUGAGACACGGUCCAGACUCCUACGGGAGGCAGCAGUGGGGAAUUUUGGACAAUGGGCGCAAGCCUGAUCCAGCAAUGCCGCGUGAGUGAAGAAGGCCUUCGGGUUGUAAAGCUCUUUUGUCAGGGAAGAAACGGCUCCAGCUAAUAUCUGGGGCUAAUGACGGUACCUGAAGAAUAAGCACCGGCUAACUACGUGCCAGCAGCCGCGGUAAUACGUAGGGUGCAAGCGUUAAUCGGAAUUACUGGGCGUAAAGCGUGCGCAGGCGGUUUUGUAAGUCUGUCGUGAAAGCCCCGGGCUCAACCUGGGAAUUGCGAUGGAGA
rnacentral:rRNA from 1 species